UGGGACUCUUCACCAAAGUCACAAUCCAAUUGGACUCUUCAGCCAUCAGAUUUGAUCUAAUCUCCUAAUGUGUGUAACUUCAUAGGUUUGAAUCUAAAUCGAUAGCAUAGAAAUAAUUUUUUGUACUAAUCAAUAUAACCAUCUAGCAAUAAGAUCUAACAUCCAGAUAGGCUGAAAGAUUGCAAAGUAACAUUCUAGAACUUACUGAUGUAUGAUUUCCUUAUAAUUCAUUCCUUUGACCCUAAUGCUCAAG
rnacentral:lncRNA from 1 species